ACCAGGUGUGGUGGUGCACACCUGUAAUCCUAGCAGCUCCGGAGGCUGAGGCAGGAGGAUUGCGAGUUCAAAACCAGCCUCAG
rnacentral:sRNA from 1 species